AAGUCGUAACAAGGUUUCCGUAGGUGAACCUGCGGAAGGAUCAUUAACAAAUUUAUGUUUUUUUAACAUAAAAAAAAAACAUAUAACACUUGUGCAACGAAUAACGUCUCUGGCAGAUUGUUCUUUUCUUUUUUUUUUCUUUUUUGAUUUCUUCUAAGAAAAAAGAAGGUCUUUCUUUUUUUUUUGGAAUGAAAGUUAAGGAAGAAUUAAAAGAAAAAGACACUGCCGUUUGACUUUUUUACACAUUUGUGUGUUUAAUUAAUACUGUCAAAUAUUUCAAAUUUAUUAUUAAAUUUAAUAAAUAACUUUUGGCAACGGAUCUCUUGGUUCUC
rnacentral:misc_RNA from 1 species